UACGGGGGGGGCAAGCGUUGUUCGGAAUUACUGGGCGUAAAGGGCUCGUAGGUGGCCAACUAAGUCAGUGGUGAAAUCCCCGAGCUUAACUUGGGAACUGCCAUUGAUACUAUCAGUCUUGAAUACCGUGGAGGUCAGCGGAAUAUGUCAUGUAGCGGUGAAAUGCUUAGAUAUGACAUAGAACACCAAUUGCGAAGGCAGCUGGCUACUCGGAUAUUGACACUGAGGCACGAAAGCGUGGGGAUCAAACAGG
rnacentral:rRNA from 1 species